UAAUGUAAAGAGUAGCUAAUUUGCACUAGUGCAGAAGUUCAAAGGAUACCAAUCUAUGGGAUUGAGAGGCAGUAGGAUUGCCAGUCCUAGUAACAUUGACAAGAUUCAUUGCUUCAUGUGGAAAGACCACACUUCUAGUAGAAACCACGGUGUAGGCGGGUUGGCUGGAGAAGUUUUGGUUGAACCCUGCACCUCGGCGUGGUUGUGCAAGAGGAGGAACCCAGUAACGGCUUUAAACUGCACUGGGCCAUAUCCCAUGGCUCACCAGUCAUCUCAAGCCAUCGUCGCCUGUUGGCCUUGCCUUGGCCUUGCCCAAGGAGGAAGAAGACUGACACAGACUGCACCCACAAGUGAGAACAACACACAGAGUCUAGUGCACACGCACUUGUGCUUUCCUCUUGUUCUCUCUUGACCAGAAUAAACAACAUGAUUACAGAGCUUGUCAUGACCGUUGCCACUGGGUACGGAAACGCUACAAGAAAUGGUCCAAGGUUCCAUCAGUCAUGCCAAAAUUUAUCGGCAGUCGGUUGAUCAACGAUGACGAGAUUUGUUGGAAAACCUAGCG
rnacentral:lncRNA from 1 species